rnacentral:lncRNA from 1 species
ACAGGAUGGAAGCUGUGGGGCUGAUAGAAACAUGGGCUGAGAGAGCUAAUGGAUUGCUGAGAUGCAGAUACCACUUCUUCCCAUCCCGGUUGAAAUUCACCUCCAUUCUACGGGGCAAGAUUAUUUAAAUCCCAAAUACCCUACCACACAGGCAUUACAGCUUUUAUUUUAAUAAUAGGAAGGAUAAUUACUGCUUUCUCAUAACCAAACACCAUUCUAAACAUAUUGUAACCCUUUGAGAAUUGCGAUUAUUGUCAUUAUUUUGUUUUGCAGAUAUGAGGGAACUCAGACAAAGAGAGCCAAGUUUCAAACACAGGAAGUACCACAGAGCCUUGGCACUUCACCCCCACACUGUUGCCUCUUUCAGCCUGAAUGGUUGGAUUCAAAGUAAUUAUUAAUGUCAUUCCAAUAAAUGUUUUUCAUGUAUUAGAGAUAGCAGAUGUGUAAAAACCUUCAAACAGUAUUUUAAAGACUAAGAACAAAAGCAAACAAACAACUACAACAACAACAAAAACAAAGACUUGAAAAUUUGUGAAUUCAAUUGCUGUUUAGUCCAACAGAUGAUAUCAGAUCCAGCAUUAUGUUACAACAUACUACUUAUUGAGACUACAAAUCACUUAAUGAUUGUCAAUUUAUUGAGAAGCAAUUGGAGAAAUUUGAUCCACCCCCCCAAAUGGAUCGCUGUCUCUCUCCUAACUCAGUUCCAAAUCAAAAUCAAACUCAAGUACAUCUUACUGGUGAGAACUAAGUCAAAACCAAAACUACAGCUGUAGGGGUAUUUUAGGGGACAGAUGAGGCAGGGCACUGAAGAUAGCAGGAAACAGUUUUAUUUGGCUGCAGCCAGAUUCAGAGAGCACAGUUUUCGCUGUAAUCAAUUAAUCCCCUGAACCCAGAAUUCAGGUAGUUUCAGAACUUUAUACCCAGCAUGUAAGCAGAGGGGCUCAGAAGUUCACAGUCUGCAGAAGUUCACAUUAAAGCAGUUAUUUCUUUCACUGUUUGAGGCAACACUUCUCCCCUUUCUUCCUCCCCUUGCCAGCUGUUACUAAGGAGCCCAAUUGGUAACUGCUCUUAUCUUUGAAAUGUAGACAUCUCUGUGAAGCCCCACCUCAAGGCCAGAGGCCUUGUUAAAGGAUCUGUCAUUUUUUAAAUCACAUUUUGUGUUUGCAAACACACUUCUGCAAACUACUAUACUGGAUAAAUGUUUGUGAAAAAGCAGUAAAGGGGCAUUCAGCACCUGGAGUGCUGAUUUCUUUCAAUCCAGUGACCAAGUAAUAGAGCAACAAGAAAACAGGAAGUUUACCUACAUUGAAUUAUUUUAUAGAGACUCUCUUGCUGGUAGUCUUAAAAUCCAUUAUGGUGAAGAUUUCUAGAGAAGCUUAGUUAAGAUUUUCUGUGGAGAAGUGGGUGCCACUACAGAUUUAUCACAUGUCAUAUCUCAAAAUAAUUUCAAAAAGAAAAAUACUGCCAAAGAAGCAAAACAAACAAACAAACAAAUAAACAAAAAACAAAAAAACCCAAAACACAUGAAAUUAAAAAAUUGAUUUGUGGGCUGAGGGCCUAGCUCAAAUGUAGAACAUGUGCUUAUAAACAAGGCCAUGGAUUCAACCCCUGGCACCAAGUAACCAAGUAAACAAACAAAACAAACACCUGAUCUAAUACUCAAUCAUUCUAUGUAUAAAAAAAUUACCAGGAAAAAUAUUUGACUACAUAAAAAUUAGAAACUCCUCAAUUUCCAAAAGAGUGUGAAUAAAAUUAAAAAGCAUUUCCAGUUUCUGUAGUGUUAGAUUAGCUUGAGUGAAACUAAUCACUACACAUAUAACAAACUAUAAACUCUGGACUAAAGAUUUUUUCAAAAAUCUAUUUGUGGGCACUGGAGAGCAACCAAAAUAGACAAAAAAUAAAAAGGAUUCAAGGUUUGGAAGAAGGAAACACAAAUAUGACCUUUAUCUUGUGGGUACUCAUCUGUCAGCCAGACUCAGAUGUAAACAGAAAACAACAGUCUUGGUCUUGAGCAUCAGGAUACAGUUAGCAGCUGCCAGAUUGUCUUGGAAGUUGAAGGCAUAAAUCCAGGAAGGAGUGAGUCACAUGGAAGAAAAUCAAAUUUGCCAAUAAAUCUCCGUCAAAUCCUUGUUUCACACUCGAAAUGGACAUUCAUUGAGCAGAGGUUCUAGGAAGGUCGAGGUGAAAGUUAUUUCUAGAAGACUGAAAGAAUACUGAGCAGAGAUUUCAGAAGCUGCCCCACGAGAGGAGAAAAAAAAACACCCCCCAAAAAACUGGAAAUAUCAAUGUUCAAAAAUAAAAGAUUUGUUAAAGAAAUUGUGGUGUAUCCAUAUAGUGAGAAACUGAUGUGACUCCAUUUUUAAAAAGAAAUAAACAACAGCAACUUCUACCUCAAGGCCAGUCCUAAGGAAGGGGGUGUGACCCUUGUCCUUGGAAAGACCCACAGAGCACUCCUAAGCACAUACCCACCCUGCUGAGUUGUUUGCCUGUAAAUAACAGA